rnacentral:rRNA from 1 species
UCCUGCCNGUAGUCAUAUGCUUGUCUCAAAGAUUAAGCCAUGCAUGUCUCAGUACAAGCCUACCUAAGGCGAAACCGCGAAUGGCUCAUUAAAUCAGUCAUGAUUCAUUGGAUGUUGCCAAAAAUUUACUUGGAUAACUGUGGUAAUUCUAGAGCUAAUACAUGCACCUGAGCUCCGACCCCGACGUAAGGAAGGGAAAGGGCGCUUUUAUUAGAUCAAAAACCGAUCGGACUUCGGUCCGUCUCUCAAAAAAGAGCAGUGAUGAGUCUGAAUAACUUAGCCGAGCGCUGAGGUCUUAGUACCGGCGCCGUAUCCUUUGAGUGUCUGCCUUAUCAGCUGUCGAUUGUAAGAUAUACGCUUACAAUGGCUGUAACGGGUAACGGGGAAUCAGGGUUCGAUUCCGGAGAGGGAGCCUGAGAAACGGCUACCACAUCUAAGGAAGGCAGCAGGCACGCAAAUUACCCACUCCCGGUACGGGGAGGUAGUGACGAAAAAUAACGAUGCGGGACUCUUCCGAGGCCUCGCAAUCGGAAUGAGUUCACUCUAAAUCCUUGGACGAGGAUCCAUUGGAGGGCAAGUCUGGUGCCAGCAGCCGCGGUAAUUCCAGCUCCAAUAGCGUAUAUUAAAGUUGCUGCGGUUAAAAAGCUCGUAGUUGGAUUUGCGAUGACGCGUCGAGAGCGGGCGAAACGACGACGCCUUAGACUGUCGUCGAAAGCGGACGCGCUUAUCCAUCCGUCUACUNCUGCUGCUGGNGANACGNGGACCACAUCCAANAAAGGUANCGGGCGNNCANNNNGNCCAAUCNUNNCAAAGNAANNNANCGACACUUUUUNGCNNNUUCCNCCCNNCCNNCUNCCNUNCNNCCCNNCNNCACCNNCUUNNUGNCGGNCGGCGGCGGCGGUGGUGGUGAUGAUGNUGNUCCUCCUCCUCCGNCNNNNCAUANCNACGUCGUCGUCNUNNNNANGACGCCGNUAGNAGUCNNCUGCCGNCNCCNGCUNNNNGGGGCGGCGGCNNNCUANUACUACAACUAAUAAUAAUAAUAUUGCGUAGUCGUAGUCGACGUCGUCCCGCGUGGCCGUCAAGUUCACUUUGAAAAAAUUAGAGUGCUCAAAGCAGGCCUGAAAUCUGAAUGGUGAUGCAUGGAAUGAUAAAACAGGACCUCGGUUCUGUAUUUUUGGUCGGUUUUCCGAACCAGAGGUAAUGAUUAACGGAGACAGACGGGGGCAUUAGUAUUGCGACGCUAGAGGUGAAAUUCUUGGACCGUCGCAAGACUAACUACUGCGAAAGCAUUUGCCAAGAAUGCUCUCAUUAAUCAAGAACGAAAGUUAGAGGAUCGAAGGCGAUCAGAUACCGCCCUAGUUCUAACCAUAAACGAUGCUAACUGGCGAUCCGCCGGAGUCAUUCCCACGACUCGGCGGGAAGCCCCCGGGAAACCAAAGUCUUUGAGUUCCGGGGGAAGUAUGGUUGCAAAGCUGAAACUUAAAGGAAUUGACGGAAGGGCACCACCAGGAGUGGAGCCUGCGGCUUAAUUUGACUCAACACGGGGAACCUCACCAGGCCCAGACACCAGGCCCAGACACCGUAAGGAUUGACAGAUUGAGAGCUCUUUCUCGAAUCGGUGGUUGGUGGUGCAUGGCCGUUNUUAGUUGGUGGAGCGAUCUGUCUGGUUGAUUCCGAUAACGAACGAGACUCUCCCCUGCUAACUAGUCGGCGGAUCGUCUCCCGAGAAGGGUCCUAGCCGGGUGUGUCGGAUCGUGCCUUCGCUUCGAACCUUCGUCGUCCCUCCUCCCCCCUGUCCGUCGCUUCGAGGCCUCCGUGGUUCUAGUCGCGUCGGGGAGGUCGGGAGGCUGGAUCUCGGCGUUGGAACGGGCGUCGGACGGUCUCCUCGCGCUUUGGGCCCGACGAGGGGCGUCCGUCGCAANGUCUUCUUAGAGGGAUCGGCGUCGUCCAGGCGCACGAGAUAGAGCAAUAACAGGUCUGUGAUGCCCUUAGAUGUUCUGGGCCGCACGCGCGCUACAAUGAAGGGAUCAGCGCGCUCCCCCCCUCCGAAAGGAGCGGGUAACCCUAUGAAACCCCUUCCCGAUUGGGAUUGGGGAUUGCAAGUGUUUCCCAUGAACGAGGAAUUCCCAGUAAGCGCAAGUCAGCAGCU